CCCUGUCCCUAAAUCCCCCUCGGGCAUUUCGAGAGUCAGUCCCGUUGCUGUGGAUCUGGAGUCACGUGUAGACCAGGCCUGUAAGAGGAUAAUAAACCUGGGACCCAUCCACCCCGGACCAACCAGCCCGGAGCCCCAGCCGUCUGGAACCCGGGUUAUCUGCGGGCAUUGUAAAAACACAUUCCUGUGGCGAGAGUUCACAGACAGCACAUUGGCACGCUGUCCUCACUGUCGACACGUCUCCUCGAUUGGCCGGCAGUAUCCGCGGCGCCGAUGUAUGUGGAUAUUCAUGGUGGGAUUACUCUUCGCUGUUAUCGCUGCUGGCGUGGCGAUAUCUACGUGGAAGCAGGCCAGGAGAUACCAUGGAAUCUAUGCGGGCUGGGCUGUUCUCAUGGUCCUCUCGCUCUGCAGCUUUGCCCGCGCCUGUUACUGGGGCUGCCUGAAAGUCAGCCACCCCAUCCAGAGUUUCUCCUGACGUGACGAGGGGAGGCGCAGGAGAUUCCUUAACUUUCAUCAACACAAGAACAUGCGAACUCUGAACUUUGAUCCAUAGAACCUAGAACAUCACAGUGCAGUGCAGGAUCUUCAGCCCUCGAUGUUGUGCCGACCUGUGGAACCAACCUGAAGCCCAUCUAACCUACACUAUUCAUUCUCGUCAAUAUGCCUAUCCAAUGACCAUUUAAAUUCCCAUUAAGUUGGCGAGUCCAUAGCUAUUGCAGGCAGUGUGUUCUACACCCCGACGACUCUCUGAUUAAAGAAUUUACAUCUGACAUCUGUCCUAUAUCUAUCUUCCCUCAAUGUGAAGCUAUGCACUCUCAUUCUGGCCAUUACCAUCCUCGGAAAAAGGCUCUCAGUUUCCACCGGUUCUCAGACUGAUUAUCUUAUAUGUCUCAAUUAAUUCACCUCUCGACCUUCUUCUCUCUAUCAAAAACAGUCUCAAGUCACUCAAGCUCCUCUUGUAAGAACCUCCCUCCAUAUCAGGCAACAUUCUAGUAAAUCACCUUUGAACCCUUUCCAAAGCUU